rnacentral:tRNA from 1 species
UCUUUUAUAACUUAUUGGCAAAGUACCAGGCUGUCACCCUGGCUAUGGGGGUUCGAUUCCCCCUAAAAGUCCC